GUCCCCGCCGCCCCUAGCCGGGCAGGGCCCGCGUUCCCCGGGCCGGCCCCGCUCCCCCGGCCCUUUGUCCGGGCCAGCCCCGUCCCCAUGGAAACCCGGCCGGGCCCGGCGGAAAGGGCCGGACGGCGGCACAAAGGAGCGGGGCGGGACCGGCACGGGCACGGGCACGGGGUACAGGGCACGGCCGGGCCUGGAGCCUGCGGGCCGCGUCCUGCUCCGGGAGCAGCACCGGGAACUGCUCCGGGGAAUAGCACCGGGGAAUAACACCGGGAACUGCUCCGGGGAACUGCACCGGGAACGGCUCCGGGAUCUGCUCUGGGGAAUAACACCGGGAACUGCUCCGGGGAACUGCACCGGGAACUGCUCCGGGGAGUAGCACCGGGAACUGCUCCGGGAACUGCUCCGGGAACUGUUUCGGAAACUCCUCCGGGAACUGCUCCGGGAGCAGCGGGAACAUGGGGAAACACCGGGAAACAACUCCAGGAAGGCCCGGGAACACCGGGAAACAACCCAGGGGGACACCGGGGAACAGCCCCGGCAAACAGCCCAGGGGGACACCGGGGAACAACACCGGGAAAGAACCCAGGGGAACACCGGGGAACAACACCGGGAAACAACCGAGGGGGACACCGGGGAACACCGAGCACACCGGGUAACAACCACGGGAACACCGUGAAGCACCGGGGAACAACCCAAAGGAACACCGGGGAGCACCGAGAAGGACCGGGUAGCACCGGGUACAACACCGGGGAACACCGUGAACCAAGCCCGGAAAGCACCGGGAACACCGAGAAACACCGGGAAACACCGGGAACACGGAGAACCAAGCCCGGGGAACACCGGGAAGCACCGGGAACACCGAGAAAAAGCCCCGGGAACAGCGGGAGCCGGCCCGGGGAGCAGCGGCCCAGCAGCGAGCCCUGAGGGCCGCGAGGGUGAGGCGCGGCCUGCGCGGGACGGGCCGUGAGGGGACGGAAAAAGCGCCCGCGUGAGGGGAAUUUUGUGAGGAAAACGCUCAAAAGCUGAAAAAUGCUGAGGGCAGGAGGUGGCGGAGGUGGGAAGGGAAGUUUUUCCAGCGCUUAAAAGGGAUCACAGAGCGCUGGAGAGAGUUUGGGAAAGGGCGUGGGGUGUGCGACAAAGGGGACGGGUUUGAACUGGAGGGGAGGUUUCGGGAUUUUGGGAUUUUGGGAGGAAAUUCCUCCCUGUGAGGGCGGAAAGGGCUUGGCACGGGUUAUCUCAGGGGUGCCUCAUCUCUGGAAGGGUCCAGGGCCAGGCUGGACGGGGCUUGGAGCCACCUGGGAUGGGGGAAAGGGUCCCUGGUAUGGGGGAUCCCUUCCUACCCAAAGGAUCACCCUGGAACUUUUCCCACACUGAGGAUGAUCUUGGAUCCCUUCCCACCCAAAGGAUCACCCUGGAUCCCUUCCCAGCCAAAGGAUUUUCCUGGAACUUUUCCACACAGAGGAUGAUCCUGGAUCCUUUCCCAUCCAAAGGGUGAUCCUGGAUCCUUUCCCGUCCAAAGGAUCACCCUGGAUCCUUUCUCACACAAAGGACAAGUAAUUUUCUGUAGGGAUUUUCUGUAGGGAUUUCUGUAAGAAUUUUCUGUAGGGACUUUCUGGAGGGAUUUUCUGUGGGAAUUUUCUGUAAGGAUUUUCUGUAUGAAUUUUCUGUAGGGUUUUUCUGGAGGGAUUUUCUGUGGGAAUUUUCUGUGGGGUUUUUCUGGAGGAACUUUCUUUAGGGAUUUUCUGUAGGGUUUUUCUGUAGGGUUUUUCUGGAGGGAUUUUCUGUUGCUGUUUCUUUCAGUGUGCACAGGAUUUCUGGAUCUCCCAGCACUGGUGAUGCUGCCCUGGAGCAGCUUUAGGUGACAUGGAUCUGAAAUCUCCAUCAGUCACCAAAGAGUUUUCUCUUCCCAAAGGCCUUUCCCAGCUGUUUAUGAGGUGGUAAAUUCUCUGGGCUCACCCUGGGCCACUUCAUCCUUGCUAGUGGCUCAUUAGAAAUGUAAGAAAAAAUAAGAAUAUACCUAUGGUAAGGAUUUUUGGAAGAGCCUGCACCCUCUCACAGGUGUAAGGGGAUUUUUGGCCCGAAUUUGUCACAGUUCUGAGGAGCAGAGGGACACUUGGGAGCUCAGGGAAGACUGAAGGGUUGUUGAAGGUACACAAACACCUGGCAGGUGCCUCCAGGCCUCCAGAGCAGCGUGUUGGGAUGAGGAUGAGGAUGAUGAUCAGGCUCUGGUGCUGCUCCUCUGCAGCCCCUGGUUCUCCCCACACUUUUCCUGACAGAAAUUUGGCAUUUUCAUCAGCUCAAACUCCUCAAACCCAGCUCCUUUGCUGGGUUUGGUGCUGUUAGAGCUGAGGAGGAGCUCCAGGCAGGAGGAAUUCCUUCAACCCACAGUUAUUCUUCUGAGAGUUUCUGCCAUUUCAUUAAUCAUCUCCAGAUUUUCUGCUUGCUGCUGACUUCAAAGCAGGCACUCUUGAGGUGCAGCCUCCCAAAAUGACAUUGAAAGCUGGUGUCUUCAUCCCCCAGGAGGAGCACACAGCCUCCCAGGGCUGUGGGAAAUUUUGCUCAUCCUUCAGAGCUUUUUUUGCCUUUGUCUAAGAUUUGGGGUUUUUUCUAUGACAUUUGUAAACACAGCCUUUGGUCACCCUGCAGAUGGGUGUUUCCUGGACUUUUGAGUUUUCUCCAGGUGCCAGUGUGAUCACAGUUGGUUCACAGAGGGAUUUAUUUCAAGGAUUAUCAAUUCACUGGGUUAUCUUUUGCAGCAGGAAGGGUUUGGUUGGUUUUUUUUUUUUUCCUGAUAGAAUUUCAACCCCUGCCUUCUUUCCCACCAUUCCAAGGUGGAUUUUACUUGUCCAGACCACCAUGAGUAAAAGGAUCACCAAAUCCUUGGGUUUGCAUUGGUGUGCUGAGGCUGCUGUGCCUCUUCUCUUCAGCACCACACAACCUCACAGCUCACUUUGGGCACAAGUCAGGUCUUUGCCAGCCCUCGAGGGAGGCAGGAAUUUGGCACAGAAUAGGAUUUUAGCCACGAGCACAGAGGUGCCCCAGCCUGAGGCAGGAAGGACAGGCACUGAGGAAAGCAGGGAUGCAGCAGGAGCUUGUCCUGUGCAGGUGGAACACACCUGGUGUGAUCUUCACCAUCUAAACACAGGUGUUUGGGGGGGUUUAUCCUCAAUUUUGAGGUCCUGGUUCCACUGGGGGGGGUGAAUCUCCUUUUUAUUCCUGCUCUGGGCUGUUCUCCACCAGGAAGAGCUGCCUGAGCUUCGGGUCACACUGACCUGGAGGCAAAACCUCCCUGAGUCAGGGAAUUCCUCCUCUGGGAUUGCACUUUCAUGGGAAUUGAGGGGGUUUUAUCCUCAAUUCUGAAGAGGGAUGAAUCUCCUCUUUAUUCCUGCUCUGGGCUGUUCUCCACCAGGAAGAGCUGCCUGAGCUUCAGGUCACACUGACCUGGAGGCAAAACCUCCCUGAGUCAGGGAAUUCCUCCUCUGGGAUUGCACUUAAAAACUCCCCUUUCAUGAGAAUUGGGUGGGGGGGUUUUCCUCAAUUUUGAGGUCCUGGUGCCACUGGGGGGGUGAAUCUCCUUUUUAUUCCUGCUCUGGGCUGUUCUCCACCAGGAAGAUCUGCCCGAGCUUCAGGUCACACUGACCUCGAGGCAAAAGCUCCCCGAGUCAGGGAAUUCCUCCUCUUGGAUUGCACUUUCAUGGGAAUUGAGGGAGUUUUGUCCUCAAUUCUGAGGGGGAUGAAUCUCCUUUUCAUUCCUGCUCUGGGUUGUUCUCUGCCAGGAAGAGCUGCCUGAGCUUGGACCUUCAGACCACACUGACCUGGAGGCAAAACCUCCCUGAGUCAGGGAAUUCCUCCUCUUGGAUUACAUUUAAAAACUCCCCUUUCAUGUAAAUUGGGGGGGUUUAUCCUCAGUUCGGAGGGGGGAUGAGUCUCCUCUUUAUUCCUGCUCUGGGUUGUUCUCUGCCGGGAAGAGCUGCCUGAGCUUCAGACCACACUGACCUCGAGGCAAAAGCUCCGUGUCUCAGGGAAUUCCUCCUCUGGGAUUGCACUUAACAUCUCCCCUUUCAAGGGAUCGAGGGUGUGUUUGGGAGAGAACAACAGCCUGAAAUCUGUUCCAUUCAGGCAUUCCAAAUCUGCUGUUCCCAGCCUGAAAUUUGUUCCUUUCAGGGAUUCCGAAUUCCCGGCGACGACUCCGUGCCAGAGUUUGAUCCAUUGUUAAUAGGUCAGUGGCUGUAAAUGGACCUUUCCUGUUGUUUUGACAUCUGCCUUCAUUUUUUUUCCCCCUACAGAAGAGGCAGAAAUGUUUCUUCAUUAAACCCCUGAUUGACAGCUUGCUGAAAGGAAACCCACGGUAGCAGCUUUCCCUUUCAUUCCUCUGCUGAAACCUCAGGUUUUUUCACCCCGACAAGCCCAACUCCCCUCACCACUGAGCUAAAUCCUCUUUCAUCUUUAUCCCUUGCCUUCUGCAGCGACGAGGAUGCUGUGAUGCUGCUGAGAUGCAGCGAGGAGCUCUGCUCCAGGAUUUAGCUCUGCCCAGAGCGCCGGGGAUGCUGCGGAAAGGUUGCCAGAGAGGCGGAUACCAGCCUGCAUCCAGCUUUUUGCUGCAUCCCUGCUGCCGAGCGAGAUAUGGAUCAUCCCUGGGAUUCCUCCUGCCUGUCCCUGAGCAGGGAGGGGACUCUGGAGGUGCUGCUGUGCCAGGGAGGUGUGGAUGGGCACCGGACCCUGCGGGCGCUGUGGAUUUUUCAGUUCUGGAGCCGACGCUCCCCUCACGGUGAGGUCUCUGUGGCGCAAUGGACGAGCGCGCUGGACUUCUAAUCCAGAGGUUCCGGGUUCGAGUCCCGGCAGAGAUGAUCUCCAGGCAGGUGUCUCUUUUCUUUUAGGGACAUUUCCCCCCAGAGAUGAUCUCCAAGAUCUCCAGGCAGGUGUCUCUUGUCUUUUAGUGCCAUUUCCCCCCAGAAAUGAUCUCCAGGAUCUCCAGGCAGGUGUCUCUUGUCUUUUAGGGACAUUUUCCCCCAGAGAUGAUCUCCAGGCAGGUGUCUUGUCUCUUUUAGUGCCAUUUCCCCCCAGAAAUGAUCUCCAGGAUCUCCAGGCAGGUGUCUCUUGUCUUUUAGGGACAUUUCCCCCCAGAGAUGAUCUCCAAGAUCUCCAGGCAGGUGUCUCUUGUCUUCUAGUGCCAUUUUCCCCCAGAGAUGAUCUCCAGACAGGUGUCUCGUCUCUUUUAGGGACAUUUCCCUCGGACAUGGUCUCCAGAAUCUCCAGGCAGGUGUCUCUGUUAUUUUAGUGCCAUCCCCCCCAGAAAUGACCUCCUGGAUCUCCAGGCAGGUGUCUCUAUUAUUUAGUACCAUUUGCCCCAGAGAUGAUCUCCAGGCAGGUGUCUCUGUUAUUUUAGUGCCAUUCCCCUCAGAGAUGACCUCCAGGAUCUCCAGGCAGGUGUCUCUUUUCUCUUAGUGCCAUUCCCCUCCCAGGUCCCGACCCCUUACGUUUGUAACACCUCCAAGGGUUUGCAUGGGGAGAGAAUGAUUUUUCCUGGACAGCUGAUGGAUGUAACAUCCCUGUGCUCCCUUCUCCAGGCGUUUCUCCUCCAUCACCUCCCCCUUCCCUUGUUCCCUUUGGUUUCUCCUCCAAGCAGGUGCUUUAACCCCACAUGUCCCCCCACAUUUUUGGGUGUUCUGUGCUUUCCAGUAGGGCCCAGCGGGGCCAGAACCUUCUGGUGGCAUUUUCUGUGAUAAAUGGGGUCAUUUUUUCACAUGUGUGAAAAAGAAAUGUUGGUCUCUGAUCUGAGUGUCCACCUUGUGGAAUUGGGGUGACUCAGUGCUCCCCACCUGGACCUUUCUACUCUGAAAUGGUUUUAAACAGCCAGAGGGCCGGGUUAGAUGGGAUAUUGAGGAGAAAUUGUUCCUUGUGAGGGUGGGGAGGCCCUGGCACAGAUGAUUCCAUGGAUGCCCCAUCCCUGGAAGUGUCCAAAGCCAGGUUGGAUGGGGCUGGGAGCACCUUGGGAUUGUGGAAGGUGACCCUGCCAUGGUAGGGGUGGGACUGGAUAAAUGUUCCUCUGGCAAAACUAGAGCCAGGAAAAAUGGUGGAAUGGUCCUGUGGUGACCCUAGAACCCACAGAAAUGGUGGAAUGAUCUUCUGGAAAUCCUAGAACUGACAGAAAUGGUGGGAUGGUCCUGUGGUGACCCUAGAACCCACAGAAAUGGUGGAAUGAUCUUCUGGAAAUCCUAGAACUGACAGAAAUGGUGGGAUGGUCCUGUGGUGACCCUAGAACCCACAGAAAUGGUGGAAUGAUCUUCUGGAAAUCCUAGAACUGACAGAAAUGGUGGGAUGGUCCUGUGGUGACCCUAGAACCCACAGAAAUGGUGGAAUGCUCCUCUGGAAAUCCUAGAACUGACAGAAAUGGUGGAAUGGUCCUGUGGUGACCCUAGGACCCACAGAAAUGGUGGAAUGCUCCUCUGGGACCCAAGAACUGGAAAAAAAAAAGGUGGAAUUCUCCUCUGGUAACCCUAGAGCCAGCAGAAACAGUGGAAUGCUCCACUGGAAAUCCUAGAACUGACAGAAAGGGUGGAAUGUCCCUCUGGCAACUCCAGAACUGGCAAAAAGGGUGGAAUUCUGCCAUGGCAACCCUAAAACAAAUAAAACCAGUGGGAUGAUCCCAUGGCAACCCUAGAACCAAGAGAAACAAUGAAAUGAUCCCAUGGCAACCCUAGAAAUGGUGGAAUGUUCCUCUGGAAAUCCUAGAACUGACAAAAAAUGGUGGAAUGGUCCUGUGGUGACCCUAGAACCCACAGAAAUGGUGGAAUGCUCCUCUGGAAAUCCUAGAACUGACAAAGAUGGUGGGAUGGUCCUGUGGUGACCCUAGGACCCACAGAAAUGGUGGAAUGCUCCUCUGGAAAUCCUAGAACUGACAAAAAUGGUGGAAUGGUCCUGUGGUGACCCUAGGACCCACAGAAAUGGUGGAAUGCUCCUCUGGGACCCAAGAACUGGGAAAAAAAAAGGUGGAAUUCUCCUCUGGUAACCCUAGAACCAGCAGAAAAACUGGAAUGCUCCACUGGAAAUCCUGGAACUGACAGAAAGGGUGGAAUGUCCCUCUGGCAACUCCAGAACUGGCAAAAAGGGUGGAAUUCUGCCAUGGCAACCCUAAAACAAAUAAAACCAGUGGGAUGAUCCCAUGGCAACCCUAGAACCAAGAGAAACAAUGAAAUGAUCCCAUGGCAACCCUAGAAAUGGUGGAAUGUUCCUCUGGAAAUCCUAGAACUGACAAAAAAUGGUGGAAUGGUCCUGUGGUGACCCUAGAACCCACAGAAAUGGUGGAAUGCUCCUCUGGAAAUCCUAGAACUGACAAAGAUGGUGGGAUGGUCCUGUGGUGACCCUAGGACCCACAGAAAUGGUGGAAUGCUCCUCUGGAAAUCCUAGAACUGACAAAAAUGGUGGAAUGGUCCUGUGGUGACCCUAGGACCCACAGAAAUGGUGGAAUGCUCCUCUGGGACCCAAGAACUGGGAAAAAAAAAGGUGGAAUUCUCCUCUGGUAACCCUAGAACCAGCAGAAAAACUGGAAUGCUCCACUGGAAAUCCUGGAACUGACAGAAAGGGUGGAAUGUCCCUCUGGCAACUCCAGAACUGGCAAAAAGGGUGGAAUUCUGCCAUGGCAACCCUAAAACAAAUAAAACCAGUGGGAUGAUCCCAUGGCAACCCUAGAACCAAGAGAAACAAUGAAAUGAUCCCAUGGCAACCCUAGAAAUGGUGGAAUGUUCCUCUGGAAAUCCUAGAACUGACAAAAAAUGGUGGAAUUCUCCUCUGGCAACUCUAGAGCCAGCAGAAACAGUGGAAUGCUCCUCUGGAAAUCCUAGAACUGACAAAAAUGGUGGAAUAGUCCCGUGGUGACCCUAGAACCCACAGAAAUGGUGAAAUGCUCCCCUGGCAAUCCUAAACCAAACAGAACCAAUGGGAUGCUUGUUUGACAACCCCAGAACCAAGGAAAACUCUGGGAUGCUCCCCUGCCGUCCCUAAAAUCAGCACAAAAUGGUGGAAUUCUCCCAUGGAACCUCCUUUCCCAGGAGUUCUGUUCCUCCUGCCCCACGGGCAACAAAAUGAACAAAACCUGGGUUUUAUUUCAGGUUGGGCACCUCUGCUUCCCCCUCGUUCACCACCCACCCCAACCAGGGGCUGUGACAUCAGGGGACAGUUUGUGCCCCUGAUCCUCGAGGAAUUUUUAACCCUUGUGGCUUCCCAGAGCCAUCCUGGAUCCAGCAGGGAUCAGGGUGGAGGAGGAGUUGGGCACCCCCAGGAGCUCCCAGGGUUUGGGGUUCAGUUUUAUCUGUAAAGAGUUUGGGGUUCAGGUUUAUCACAGAGUUUGGGGUUCAGGUUUAUCACUAAAUAAAUUCAUCAUUUUUGA